rfam:Trichuris suis C385841.1, whole genome shotgun sequence.
GUCCUUGUAGUGUAGUGGUUAUCACAUCUGUCUCACACACAGAAGGUCCCUGGUUCGAA